UACGGAGGGUGCAAGCGUUUAUCCGGAUUCACUGGGUUUAAAGGGUGCGUAGGUGGGCAGGUAAGUCAGUGGUGAAAUCUCUGGGCUUAACCCGGAACUGCCGUUGAUACUAUCUGUCUUGAAUGUAGUGGAGGUGAGCGGAAUAUGUCAUGUAGCGGAUGAAAUGCUUAGAUAUGACAUAGAACAUCGAUUGCGAAGGCAGCUCGCUACACUAUGAUUGACACUGAGGCACGAAAGCGUGGGGAUCAAACAGG
rnacentral:rRNA from 1 species